rnacentral:rRNA from 1 species
AUUGAACGCUGGCGGAAUGCUUUACACAUGCAAGUCGAACGGCAGCACGGGGCAACCUGGUGGCGAGUGGCGAACGGGUGAGUAAUACAUCGGAACGUGCCCAAUCGUGGGGGAUAACGUAGCGAAAGUUACGCUAAUACCGCAUACGAUCUACGGAUGAAAGCGGGGGAUCGCAAGACCUCGCGCGAGUGGAGCGGCCGAUGUCAGAUUAGGUAGUUGGUGGGGUAAAGGCUCACCAAGCCAACGAUCUGUAGCUGGUCUGAGAGGACGACCAGCCACACUGGAACUGAGACACGGUCCAGACUCCUACGGGAGGCAGCAGUGGGGAAUUUUGGACAAUGGGCGCAAGCCUGAUCCAGCCAUUCCGCGUGCA